GACGUAGGGCGCGAGCGUUGUCCGGAUUUAUUGGGCGUAAAGAGCUCGUAGGCGGCUUGUCGCGUCGACUGUGAAAUCCCGCGGCUCAACUGCGGGUCUGCAGUCGAUACGGGCAGGCUAGAGUUCGGUAGGGGAGUCUGGAAUUCCUGGUGUAGCGGUGAAAUGCGCAGAUAUCAGGAAGAACACCGGUGGCGAAGGCGGGUCUCUGGGCCGAUACUGACGCUGAGGAGCGAAAGCGUGGGGAGCGAACAGG
rnacentral:rRNA from 1 species